rnacentral:rRNA from 1 species
GUAAGGAGUUUUCGGCAAUGGGGGGAACCCUGACCGAGCAACGCCGCGUGAGUGAUGACGGCCCUAUGGGUUGUAAAGCUCUGUUAUAAGGGACGAACAGCUUUGCUAGGAAAUGAGCAGAGUCUGACGGUACUUUAUCAGAAAGCCACGGCUAACUACGUGCCAGCAGCCGCGGUAAUACGUAGGUGGCAAGCGUUAUCCGGAAUUAUUGGGCGUAAAGAGUGAGCAGGCGGCAGAUUAAGUUUGAGGUUAAAGCGUGGGGCUCAACCCCAUAAAGCCUUGAAAACUGAUCAGCUAGAGUACGAGAGAUGUGAAGGGAACUCCAUGUGUAGCGGUGAAAUGCGUAGAUAUAUGGAAGAACACCAGUGGCGAAGGCGCUUCACAAGCUCGAAACUGACGCUCAGUCACGAAAGCGUGGGUAGCAAAUAGGAUUAGAAACCCUAG